UACGGAAGGUAGCAGUGGGGAAUAUUGCACAAUGGGCGAAAGCCUGAUGCAGCUAUGCCGCGUGUAUGAAGAAGGCCUUAGGGUUGUAAAGUACUUUCAUCGGGGAGGAAAAACAAAACUAAUAAUUUUAUUUCUUGACGUUACCCGAAAAAGAAGCACCGGCUAACUCCGUGCCAGCAGCCGCGGUAAUACGGAGGGUGCUAGCGUUAAUCAGAAUUACUGGGCGUAAAGAGCACGUAGGUGGUUUUUUUAAGUCAGAUGUGAAAUCCCUGGGCUUAACCUGGAACUGCAUUUUGAAACUGAAAUACUAGAGUAUCGUAGAGGGAGGUAGAAUUCUAGGUGUAGCGGUGAAAUGCGUAGAUAUCUGGAGGAAUACCUGUGGCGAAAGCGGCCUCCUAAACGAAUACUGACACUGAGGGUGCGAAAGCGUGGGGAGCAAACAGGGAUUAGAUACC
rnacentral:rRNA from 1 species